rnacentral:rRNA from 1 species
AGAGUUUGAUCCUGGCUCAGAAUCAACGCUGGCGGCGUGCCUAACACAUGCAAGUCGCGCGAGAAAGGGUAGCAAUACCUGAGUAAAGCGGCGCACGGGUGAGUAACACGUGACUAACCUACCCUCGAGUGGGGAAUAACUUCGGGAAACCGAGGCUAAUACCGCAUAAUACCCACGGGUCAAAGGAGCAAUUCGCUUGAGGAGGGGGUCGCGGCCGAUUAGUUAGUUGGCGGGGUAAUGGCCCACCAAGACGAUGAUCGGUAUCCGGCCUGAGAGGGCGCACGGACACACUGGAACUGAAACACGGUCCAGACUCCUACGGGAGGCAGCAGUGGGGAAUUUUGCGCAAUGGGGGAAACCCUGACGCAGCAACGCCGCGUGGAGGAUGAAGUCCUUCGGGACGUAAACUCCUUUCGAUCGGGACGAUUAUGACGGUACCGGAAGAAGAAGCCCCGGCUAACUUCGUGCCAGCAGCCGCGGUAAUACGAGGGGGGCGAGCGUUGUUCGGAAUUAUUGGGCGUAAAGGGUGCGUAGGCGGUUUGGUAAGUCUCUUGUGAAAACUCCGGGCUCAACUCGGAGCCUGCAGGAGAAACUGCCGGGCUUGAGUAUGGGAGAGGUGAGUGGAAUUCCUGGUGUAGCGGUGAAAUGCGUAGAUAUCAGGAGGAACACCUGUGGCGAAAGCGGCUCACUGGACCAUAACUGACGCUGAUGCACGAAAGCUAGGGGAGCAAACAGGAUUAGAUACCCUGGUAGUCCUAGCCCUAAACGAUGACUGCUUGGUGUGACGGGUACCCAAUCCCGCCGUGCCGUAGCUAACGCGUUAAGCAGUCCGCCUGGGGAGUACGGUCGCAAGGCUGAAACUCAAAGGAAUUGACGGGGGCCCGCACAAGCGGUGGAGCAUGUGGUUUAAUUCGACGCAACGCGAAGAACCUUACCUGGGCUCGAAAUGUAGUGGACCGGGGUAGAAAAUAUCCCUUCCCCGCAAGGGGCCGCUAUAUA